CCCCCCCACCCCGCCAACCCAGAGAAGUGCGUGAGGUUCCACGCAUUAGUCCUGAUGUUAAUGCUCGUGCUUAGGAAAGAGCUGGCUGGAGGUCAGAAGUCUGAAAAUGAGACGCGUGGGGCUAAAAUCAAGGUGUUGACAGAGCUGAGCUCCUUCUGGGAAGAAUUUUGCCUUUUUUUAGCCUCAAGAGGCUCCCUAUUCCUGGGCAGGUGGUCUCCUUCCGGCAACGACGAGUCUCCUGUGGUUACAUUGGGCCCUCCCGGAUAAUCCAGGACAAUCUCCCCAUCUCGAGAUCCUUAACUUAAACACAUCUGCCAAGUCCCUUUUUCCCCGUGAACUCAUCUAUUCACAGAUUCCAGGAAUUACAACGUGGACAUUUCUGGGGACCAUUAUUCUGCCUACCAUACACUCACCUCUUUCCAGGCAUCUUUUUCUCUAUCUAGUAUCACAGUAUUUAUUUAUUUAUUUAUUUAUUUAUUAUUUUUUUUAACGUU